rnacentral:rRNA from 1 species
CCUACGGGUGGCAGCAGUGAGGAAUAUUGGUCAAUGGCCGGAAGGCUGAACCAGCCAUGCCGCGUGAAGGGCAGGGACAUAUGGGCGUUAAACUUCUUUUGUGCGGGAGAAAUAAUGGUCACGUGUGGCCAGACGAGAGUACCGUACGAAUAAGCAUCGGCUAACUCCGCGCCAGCAGCCGCGGUAAAACGGGGGAUGCAAGCGUUAUCCGGAUUUAUUGGGGUUAAAGGGGGCGUGGGCUGUGAGGUAAGUCAGCGGGGAAAUGCCCCCGCUCAACGGGGUGAAGUGCCAUUGAUACUGCCUGGCUGGACUGCGGAUGCCGUGGGAGGAAUGUGUGGUGUAGCGGUGAAAUGCAUAGAUAUCACACAGAACACCGAUUGCGAAGGCAUCUCACGAAUCCGCGAUUGACGCUGAUGCACGAAAGCGUGGGUAUCAAACAGGAUUAGAUACCCGAGUAGUC